rnacentral:rRNA from 1 species
UACGAAGGGGGCUAGCGUUGCUCGGAAUCACUGGGCGUAAAGCGCACGUAGGCGGCUUGUUAAGUCAGGGGUGAAAUCCUGGAGCUCAACUCCAGAACUGCCUUUGAUACUGGCGAGCUUGAGUCCGGGAGAGGUGAGUGGAACUGUGAGUGUAGAGGUGAAAUUCGUAGAUAUUCGCAAGAACACCAGUGGCGAAGGCGGCUCACUGGCCCGGUACUGACGCUGAGGUGCGAAAGCGUGGGGAGCA